rnacentral:rRNA from 1 species
GAUAAACGCUGGCGGCGUGCUUAACACAUGCAAGUCGAACGAAGUUUUUCCUUCGGGGGAAACUUAGUGGCGGACGGGUGAGUAACGCGUGGGUAACCUGCCCUGUACAGGGGGACAACAGCUGUAAACGGCUGCUAAUACCGCAUAAGCCCUUAGCACUGCAUGGUGCAUAGGGAAAAGGAGCAAUCCGGUACAGGAUGGACCCGCGUCUGAUUAGCCAGUUGGCAGGGUAACGGCCUACCAAAGCGACGAUCAGUAGCCGAUCUGAGAGGAUGUACGGCCACAUUGGGACUGAGACACGGCCCAGACUCCUACGGGAGGCAGCAGUGGGGAAUAUUGCACAAUGGAGGAAACUCUGAUGCAGCGACGCCGCGUGAGUGAAGAAGUAUUUCGGUAUGUAAAGCUCUAUCAGCAGGGAAGAAAAUGACGGUACCUGACUAAGAAGCACCGGCUAAAUACGUG